CAGGCCUAACACAUGCAAGUCGAACGAGAAAGGGGAGCAAUCCCUGAGUAAAGUGGCGUACGGGUGAGUAACACGUGGGUAAUCUACCUUUUGGUGGGGAAUAACGCUGGGAAACCGGCGCUAAUACCGCAUAAGCCCCCAUUGAUUAAAUGGUGGGGAAAAGAGAAAUCUGCCGAAAGAGGAGCCCGCGGCUGAUUAGCUAGUUGGUGAGGUAAAGGCUCACCAAGGCUUUGAUCGGUAGCCGGCCUGAGAGGGCACACGGCCACACUGGCACUGAAACACGGGCCAGACUCCUACGGGAGGCAGCAGUGGGGAAUCUUGCACAAUGGGGGAAACCCUGAUGCAGCGACGCCGCGUGAGUGAUGAAGCCCUUCGGGGUGUAAAGCUCUUUCGGCAGGGACGUAAUGACGGUACCUGAAGAAGAAGCUGCGGCUAACUACGUGCCAGCAGCCGCGGUAAUACGUAGGCAGCGAGCGUUGUUCGGAGUUACUGGGCGUAAAGAGUGCGUAGGCGGUUUUCUAAGUUUGGUGUGAAAUCUCCCGGCUCAACUGGGAGGGUGCGCCGAAGACUGGAAGGCUAGAGUAUGGGAGAGGUAAGCGGAAUUCCUGGUGUAGCGGUGAUAUGCGUAGAUAUCAGGAGGAACACCUGCGGUGUAGACGGCUUACUGGACCAUCACUGACGCUGAGGCACGAAAGCGUGGGUAGCAAACAGGAUUAGAUACCCUGGUAGUCCACGCCCUAAACGAUGCAUACUUGGUGUGGGUAGUUCAUUCUAUCCGUGCCGGAGCUAACGCGUUAAGUAUGCCGCCUGGUGAGUACGGUCGCAAGGCUGAAAACUCAAAGGAAUUGACGG
rnacentral:rRNA from 1 species